rfam:Dipodomys ordii contig_42196, whole genome shotgun sequence.
GGUGGCUCAGUGGUAGAGCGCUUGCCUAGCAUGCAUGAAGCCCUGGGUUCGAUUCCUCAGCACCA